rnacentral:lncRNA from 1 species
CAGAUUCGUUUUAACCCUUUAGAGGUCCUGAAGCUAAUACUCUCAGAACACAUCUCUUUCUCUGUGGUCCCCACGUACACGUGUUUGUCUAUGUCUCUUGUGUUGGACACUGACAUGUGUCGCACACCAGACUCAUCUUCGAUCAGAAGUGUAGGUGCUACAGAGGUUGCUACCGAUUAUGCAGAGGAUUAGCUCCUGAUGGCACACCUCUCUUGUCUUCCAACUCUGGAUUGCUACUUCUAGAUAGAUUUUUACGCGAUGAAGCAGAACUUGUGAAAUUCAACAAACCACCAGCAAUACAAAACCCAGAAUUGCAGAAGAUUAGUAGAAUCAGCAGCACAGAAAAAGCGCUCAUUUCACUUGUUAGCAUCACAGAAUUUGAAUCAAUUUCUGAAAACUAUACAACUACUAUUGUCCCUCGACGGUGGCAAAACUAAUACUACCAACUAUAGAUUAUAUAUAGUGGUUCUAGUUACGUUGCAAACCUUUAUAUUGCAGAAAAAUGCGGGAAUAAGAUGUCAAAAUUGCGGUUGCAAUACUGUUGUGGAGACUUUAAAAUCCCUUAUAUUACAGUGGCAAUACUGUUGUGGAGGCUUCAAAAUCCCUUAUAUUACCGUGGCAAUACUGUUGCGGAGACUUCAAAAUCCUUGAUACUGCAGUUGCAAUAGUGGUUACUGAUACUAUUGGAGAGACUUCAAAAUCUUUUAUAUGGUGGCAAUUGCGCUUGCAGAAAACAAUUAAACCAUGUCUAGUAGAAAUGAAAGGAAAGAAAAGAAAACUUGGAAGGGCCACCAACACAAAAUUUUAACAAUUUAUGCUAAAAGAUGGCCAACAU